rnacentral:tRNA from 1 species
GCGGAUGUGGCGGAAUUGGCAGACGCGCCAGAUUUAGGUUCUGGUUCGAGAGAGUGGGGGUUCAAGUCCCUUCAUCCGCA